UUCUUUCAGAGAUUAUAUGUGAAGUGCCACGUGACCGUCGGCUUUCUUAUGCGUCUUAUUAUUUUUAUGGGAACAUGAGAUUGAAUGAAAGAAGAACUUACAAAUGUUCGUCUGAUUAUCGUCAAAUGGCAAGUGAGGCCACAUGUACAAAAGAUGGUUGGAAACCUGAUCCACUGUGUGGUGCUGACAUUAUGUGUGAAGCACCAAAUAUCCCAAAUGCUCAGUUUGAAGAACGCACUAGAACUCACUAUGAAGUUAAUUCACGAAUAGUUUAUCAUUGUCCUACUGAACCCCAGCGACGCAUAGAAAUCACCUGUAAUUCCCAGGGCAGAUGGACAAACAUACAGCCCUGUAGGCCUACUGGCAAG